UAGACAUGAUAUCAAUAUACAGUCAUCCGUGAAAGUGUCUUGAACAGGCGAAUGGCUCUCUAUGUUUUAAGUUUAAUUUGACGGAAGGGAUACUACGGUGCCUACCGU